rnacentral:rRNA from 1 species
CCUGUGAAACCCAAAAGUUCGAAUGGGGAGAUUCAUCGUCAGCGAUCGCGGUGUUCGUACGGCUCGCGAUGCCCGGGGGCCUCGGUCCCUUGGCACGCGUCCGUGCGUCCUCAAACCGCGCGUCGUCGGCGUGCACUUCUCCCCUAGUAGGACGUCGCGACCCGUUGGGUGUCGGUCUACGGCCCGGUUGGGCGCCUGUUCGGCGUGCGCUUCGCGGCGUUUCGCUGUUCAGACCACCGGUGUUCCUCCCGACCGGCUGCCCGGCGGUACACGCACGGUAUCGAGUCGCAAAAGUUGCGUCCGGCCCGACGCAAGCGUCGACCAUUGCCCUCGGAUGUACGGAUCCAAUGCCGUCGCCGUGGGCGGUCCGCUGUUGGCUGCGGUGCCCUGGGACAGGCUCAAACGCAAUGAUACCGGUCGGCGACGCUACUGCUUUGGGUACUCUCAGGA